UGUGGUGGGUUCAAAGCGCUGAAACAUUAACCAGACCUUGGGCCAGCGUCUGUAGUUGCCGCUGGGUGCCCAGAGCAGGGCUCCCGGGAGCGGGAAAUGAGGGUGGCACUGCUGUUAUCCGCGUGGAGAAAGGGCGCAGCGCUGUUUGCUCAGCGCGGACGGAAGCGCUGGUGGCAGCCCCGAGGCGCUGGGCGAGAACAAGGUACAGCUACCACGGGGCACAGCUACAACAGGGCACAGCUACAAAGGGACACAGCUACAACAGGGCACAGCUACAACAGGGCACAGCAAUAAUGAGGCACAGCUACAAAGGGACACAGCUACAACAGGGCACAGCUACAACAGGGCACAGCAAUAAUGAGGCACAGCUACAAAGGGACACAGCUACAACAGGGCACAGCUACAACAGGGCACAGCAAUAAUGAGGCACAGCUACAAAGGGACACAGCUACAACAGGGCACAGCUACAACAGGGCACAGCAAUAAUGAGGCACAGCUACAAAGGGACACAGCUACAACAGGGCACAGCUACAACAGGGCACAGCAAUAAUGAGGCACAGCUACAAAGGGACACAGCUACAACAGGGCACAGCAAUAACAGGGCACAGCUACAACAGGGCACAGCAAUAACGAGGUACAGCUAUAACAGGGCACAGCAAUAACGAGGUACACCUAUAAUAAGGUAUAACCUCAGGCAAAAGCCCUGACUGUAAGCCUGCCCCUGACCCCAAAUGAGGUAAGACUUGUGGGAAGAACAAAUAUCAUUUAUGAAAUUGUAGGCUGCAAUAGCAGGGGAAAAGAAGAAUGCUAGAGCUGCUUCUGGGCCCACACCUCAGAUGGUUUGGAGCUGGGUGGUGCUUUGGUGGUGUUUUUUCUUUUUGACAGUGGUGAGGUGUCCUGAAGAUCAGGUGAGGAGAUAUGAGGAACCAGAAAGCAUUUCUGAGCAUUCAAGUGUUGUAAUCAUGUUACUGCUCCCUGAGCUCAGCUGACACAGGAGACAGGUAAACAUCUCCCACUGCCCAGGUAAGUGACAGUAUAUAAAUCCUUAGAACACCCCGAGGAAUAACAAAUCUUUUGCAACUUUGCCUUUGAACUCUGAAGAGUUAGGCUUGCAUGAUGGAUGGCAGCGGCGCCCAGCCGUAUUCUGAGGCAUAGCACAGCUCCCAACUCUCUUGCAGAGGUUUUGUCCUCAGCUGGAGGGAGAGUACAGCAAGCUGUGCGUCAGCGCCGACUCUUGCAGCUGUAGAAACUUGUCAUUUCCUUUCCAAACACCAGCACCCUCAGCAAGGCAGUUGGCCUUGAGCCAAAAGCCAUUCCUGUAGUGUCUGUUCCUGCUAUAUGCAUAUGUAAUGUUAACUUACCUGAUUCCCCACGUGAGUUUCCCCACAACCACUGCCACAUAUCUGUGUCUUGUCUGUGUGGUGGCUUUGGGAGCAGCCUCUUCCAUUAUCAAGCCUUAUGAGUUUACCUGAGAGUGUGU